rnacentral:rRNA from 1 species
AAAGAUUAAUACCCGAUGGCAUAGUUCUUCCGCAUGGUAGAACUAUUAAAGAAUUUCGGUCAUCGAUGGGGAUGCGUUCCAUUAGGUUGUUGGCGGGGUAACGGCCCACCAAGCCUUCGAUGGAUAGGGGUUCUGAGAGGAAGGUCCCCCACAUUGGAACUGAGACACGGUCCAAACUCCUACGGGAGGCAGCAGUGAGGAAUAUUGGUCAAUGGACGAGAGUCUGAACCAGCCAAGUAGCGUGAAGGAUGACUGCCCUAUGGGUUGUAAACUUCUUUUAUACGGGAAUAAAGUGAGGCACGCGUGCCUUUUUGUAUGUACCGUAUGAAUAAGGAUCGGCUAACUCCGUGCCAGCAGCCGCGGUAAUACGGAGGAUCCGAGCGUUAUCCGGAUUUAUUGGGUUUAAAGGGAGCGUAGGCGGACGCUUAAGUCAGUUGUGAAAGUUUGCGGCUCAACCGUAAAAUUGCAGUUGAUACUGGGUGUCUUGAGUACAGUAGAGGCAGGCGGAAUUCGUGGUGUAGCGGUGAAAUGCUUAGAUAUCACGAAGAACUCCGAUUGCGAAGGCAGCCUGCUGGACUGUAACUGACGCUGAUGCUCGAAAGUGUGGGUAUCAAACAGGAUUAGAUACCCUGGUAGUCCACACAGUAAACGAUGAAUACUCGCUGUUUGCGAUAUACAGUAAGCGGCCAAGCGAAAGCGUUAAGUAUUCCACCUGGGGAGUACGCCGGCAACGGUGAAACUCAAAGGAAUUGACGGGGGCCCGCACAAGCGGAGGAACAUGUGGUUUAAUUCGAUGAUACGCGAGGAACCUUACCCGGGCUUGAAUUGCAACUGAAUGAUGUGGAGACAUGUCAGCCGCAAGGCAGUUGUGAAGGUGCUGCAUGGUUGUCGUCAGCUCGUGCCGUGAGGUGUCGGCUUAAGUGCCAUAACGAGCGCAACCCUUAUCGAUAGUUACCAUCAGGUUAUGCUGGGGACUCUGUCGAGACUGCCGUCGUAAGAUGUGAGGAAGGUGGGGAUGACGUCAAAUCAGCACGGCCCUUACGUCCGGGGCUACACACGUGUUACAAUGGGGGGUACAGAAGGCAGCUACACGGCGACGUGAUGCUAAUCCCGAAAGCCUCUCUCAGUUCGGAUUGGAGUCUGCAACCCGACUCCAUGAAGCUGGAUUCGCUAGUAAUCGCGCAUCAGCCNC